rnacentral:misc_RNA from 1 species
AUAAUUGGGUAAUUAUUAUGCUGGUUUGUGGCUUAUUUGUUUUAUGUCUAUAGCAAUUGUGGGAAAUUAUAAGAGAAUAGAAAUCCUGAAAACAUUAGAAAUGGUAUCAAAAAAUCAUGGAAAUACUCUUUUUCAGAGUUCUGCAGGUAUAGUUCUUUGAAAAAUUGCAGAGUUUCUUAGGAUAUAUGAAAGCCCCCUAGGCAUAUAUGUAGCACUUCCAAUGGAGG